rnacentral:rRNA from 1 species
UGGGGAAUAUUGGACAAUGGGGGCAACCCUGAUCCAGCCAUGCCGCGUGUGUGAAGAAGGCCUUUUGGUUGUAAAGCACUUUAAGCAGGGAGGAGAGGCUAAUGGUUAAUACCCAUUAGAUUAGACGUUACCUGCAGAAUAAGCACCGGCUAACUCUGUGCCAGCAGCCGCGGUAAUACAGAGGGUGCGAGCGUUAAUCGGAAUUACUGGGCGUAAAGCGAGUGUAGGUGGCUCAUUAAGUCACAUGUGAAAUCCCCGGGCUUAACCUGGGAACUGCAUGUGAUACUGGUGGUGCUAGAAUAUGUGAGAGGGAAGUAGAAUUCCAGGUGUAGCGGUGAAAUGCGUAGAGAUCUGGAGGAAUACCGAUGGCGAAGGCAGCUUCCUGGCAUAAUAUUGACACUGAGAUUCGAAAGCGUGGGUAGCAAAACAGGAUUAGAUACCCUGGUAGUCCACGCCGUAAACGAUGUCUACUAGCCGUUGGGGUCCUUGAGACUUUAGUGGCGCAGUUAACGCGAUAAGUAGACCGCCUGGGGAGU